AUUUACAAACAAAAUAAGAUAAACAAUCAGCAAGGGAACACCAAAUACGUCAGAUGUAGUAUAUGCCAAUGAACAUGUUGACAUGAGGCUGUCCUAUAAAUAUGGUGUCUGCCUAUCAAGAAAAUCACCAACAUACUCACAUCCUCCAUCAAUAGUAGAAGAGUAGAGAUGGGCAAGGAAUGCGCUAUGAUAAAGUUUGCUUUCGUAUUCACUAUUCUCGUCACGACAAUUACUGUUAAUCUGUCUUCUUCUCAAAAGAUGCAAUCAAUGGCUAUGCGAAAUUUGGCCCACAAUAUGCUAUCGGUGAAACAAAAAUUAAUGCCACUCAAUGAUUUCAUGACAUGCGGGAGAACUUGUCGUAAAAAGAGUGAUUGUUCAGACGGUUGGCUUUGUUAUGAAUGCAUAUAUACUCCUGCGACAAUAAUUGCUCCUGCCCUCUACCAGUGUGACUUGUGAGAAGAUCUUUCGCAAAAUUCACUUUACCAAGUUCUCGAGUGAAAAAAAAAAAACAUUGGUUGAUGCUGAUAUUUGUUAAUGAAUUGUGUGUGUAUGAUUUAAGCAUUCUCAUAUAGCUUUCUUUCAGUUUUUUAUCGUUAAAAAAAUAUGUCAAGCUGUGAUGGUCUCUAGCUUGGAGCACUAGUAGUUUGAGGAUAAAGUAGUUUACCUACUACAAAAAGUAAUAAUGAUGACAUAGCGCAAGAAUAUUUCACGAAUAAAUAUUACUUAAUGUGAUAUUUGUAAGAUAUAUGUCUCUGCAUUUUUAGCGGAACAGUCAUUUGCUCACAAUAUCAUAUUAGAGAUUCUUUUUA